CCCUUAGAUGUUCUGGGCAGCACGCGCGCUACAAUGGUCUUCGCAAACGGGUGCAUUCUCGAAGGAGAAUGCCAAUCUUGGAAUCUAUGCCUUGGUCGGGACAGUUGCUUGCAAUUUUUCGACUCGAACCAGGAAUUCCUUGUAAUCGUGAUUCAUCACAUCACGAUGAAUACGUCCCUGCCCUUUGUACACACCGCCCGUCGCUCCUACCGAUCGAAGAGUUAGGUGAAUUGUUUUGAUCGAUAAGAUUUGACUAUGGUCAACUCUCGUUGCGAAAUUCUGUGAAUCUGACUGUUUAGAGGAAGGAAAAGUCGUAACA
rnacentral:rRNA from 1 species